GCUGUGGACAUUAAUACUGCCCCUGCUUGAUCACUCAAGGCAAUGUUACUCUGACCUAGUUUCAAUAUUUGUAUAGCCCUUUGUAUCUGAAGCAGAUCUCAAAGUGCUCAUAACACAUAAUGUUAUAUCUUUUCAUUUCAGGUGACAUGAUGAAGCCCUCUGGAAGGCUUACAUGUAAUGAUGGGCCCACACCAUUGUUACACGGAGUAGCUGCUUUCUUCAGCAGCUAUUACGUCUUCAACCUCGAGUGUCCUGCCACUGGAUCGUCGAUGCUGGAGUUCAUUCAAAGCCCAACAGGCCAUCUGGGGACUUUGAACUGCAAAACAUCCCACCAGGAUAAACGGUGUUAAAACUCCGCUCAACAUCCUGACAUUCUGGGUACCCUGGGUAUGGACAGCCAAAGAGAGGUUCAUUGGGCCCUGUGAUCGUAUCUGAAUUAAGGUAAGAAUCAUAGAAUGAAUGGCUUGUGUGUUUGGACUGGUGUUGUCCUAUUUAUCAUUACUGUAUUUUUAAUGAGUUGUGAUGAGUCUGUUUCUGAACUAAGAUAUAGCCGUUCCCUUUGUUUUAUUGUCACUUGAUAUCGAUACCACUCUAGCCACUUGAUAUUGGAGCUUGUUUCAGCACUGUUUGUUGUGUGUAUGGCGUUUGCACCUGGGUGGAAGCCAAAUGUUUGCAAUGGUGAUUUAAUUUCUUGCAUACUUUUUGGGUUGUUGCUAUUGUGACUACUGUCAUGUGAAAUGUUUAUGACAGUAUUAAUCGCAUUGCUGUGGUAAUAGAGUGUUUUCCUCAGUAAUCCUGUUACUGAUCCACAAUUGGAUUGUUAAAAGCUUAUGCAUGUGAAUUGGAAAGUCGUGGGGUGCACUGUAAAAUGGGGCUCCGCCAAAAGCCACGGUUUCAUUCGAUCCCUGGAUAAAAAUACCGUUGUUGUUUUUUUUGAGUAGGUUCCAUGUAUUUCAGUUGAAUAUUAUGUGGAGGAUGGCUGCAUGUCCAAACAUCGAUAAAAUAAUUAGUUUUAUUUAAUUGUAAACAUAAAAAUGUGUUUCUAAUGUAUUAUAUUAAAUGUAAAUGUGUUUCUCUCUCAGAUGAAGAACACAGGUGCUUCCUUUACGGAUUCUUUAAUCAGAGCUGGUGGUUGAAACUGUCAUUGUGUCAUUAAAGUGAAAAGCCCCAGCUAACGGUGUGGAGGCUGCAGAGCACAAACCCACACAGCCCGUCUGCUGCAGGAAGGAAGUCUGAUUGGCUGUCAGCAGUUUGUUUUCUGUCCUAAUAACCACUGAGAACAGAUUGAUAUCGGCUGCUGAACACACUCAUCACCUCCCCUCCCUUUCUCUUGUUUACUGUAAACCUUUGUUCCUCUGAGCCUCCACCCACACAGAGAUGAACUGAGUCCAAUCACCACCUGAAGCUGGUGUCAUGUUCAGGGUAUUUAUAGGUUUUCAUGAAUAAAGAUGAACUUUACAGUU